UAAUGUAAGGGGAGAACAUAUUUUAUAAAAAAAAAAAAAAAAAAAAAAGAAAUAAGUUGUAUCAGAUGGGAUUCGAACCGGGUGCCGAGAGAAGGUCGCGUGUGAUGGACGAUAGGCAUUAACCUCUGCGCCAUUGAGACUCUGCAACUACUUAGAUAUUUUUGGUAUCCUGUGUGUCUGAUUAGUAUUGUAAAAUUAAUUAUAAUUGACUUUGAAGAGUAUUAUAUUCUAUUAAUUUUGGGUAAAAGUAUCUCUUGUUGAGUUAAAAUAAUUUCGUGUAAUAUUUUUCACACUUAUGAAGACGGUCAGUGAUUGGUCAGUAUGUGUAAUAAUAGAACCUGCUAUUGGCGGUAUUUUUGCACGAGAUACAGAACAACAAAGACGUGUCUGAUGUUGUGUCUAAAUGUAGGUGAUCAAUGUAUUACGUUGACCUUGACCUGUCGUGGUGGCCAUUUUUUGGGCCGGAUAUUGCGUGCCUUGUUUAGGUUUGUGAACUUUGCGUAUUUGCAAUUGCUAUUUGUUCAUGUUGCUAAUUAUGCAUGUUUAUAAUACAUGUACUACAUAUGAAUCCUUGCAAAGGAAAUAUGUUUGUAUAUAUGAUUGAGGUCAAGCAAAUCUUGUACAUUGGUUAAGUCACUAGAACAAAUUAUAAUGUGUUUUUAUUUAUUUAUAUUUAUAGGAGCACUGUCAUUGAUUCAUUCAUUGAUUCAUCAUUGAUUGAUCACAUUACACUACAACUGUGAAUAAAAGGUGAAAAGAA